AUCCGACCCUCAUGAGAUCACAGUGGUAACACCAAGGAGAGUGGGGGAGAUGGGCACAGGCGCUGUGGCCCGACCCUCAUGAGAUCACAGUGGUAACACCAAGGACAGAGGGGGCGAUGGGCACAGGUGCCAUGAUCCGACCCUCAUGAGAUCACAGUGGUAACACCAAGGACAGAGGGGGAGAUGGGCACAGGCGCUGCGGCCCGACCCUCAUGAGAUCACAGCGGUAACACCAAGGACAGAGGGGGCGAUGGGCACAGGUGCCAUGAUCCGACCCUCAUGAGAUCACAGUGGUAACACCAAGGACAGAGGGGGAGAUGGGCACAGGCACUGCGGCCCGAUCCUCAUGAGAAGUGGCGCAGUGUUACGUGAAGGACGACUAUGUGUGGUGAGUUAAAAAUGAUGUGGCUCUGACAGGCUCCUCGUGGAGCAGAGAUAACCAGCUCUCACAAGUCUUCAUCCUCCUGCCGCCGGGACCUUGGGGGGUCAGAACAGAGCAGGAGCUGCGGGAGAUCAAGGUGCCCACUGGUUCCAGAUUUUGUCAUGCCGCAUUCCUUAGAAAAGGCAAGUUUCGGACGAAGGAAAAGGCCACACGUGGACACAAGGUUCUCUGUUUAUCAUGAACGACCGAGAAGACGGGAGCAAGAAUGGUUCUGUGGGUUUGGAAAUCGAUGGUUCUGUUUGUGAAGAAGUAGGAAAAUUGCCUGUUACCCUAAGAAGUCUACGGGCCGUGGUCAGAGCUUUAGGCUCCUGAUUCCCCACUCGGGUUGAGGUCACCGCUCACCUCUGCAGGUGCAGGCAGGAGAGAGGCAGUGAGUGGGUACAACCGGGCUGUGAAUUUGCUGAGGGAGGCAUUAUAAUGACGGCUCACAAAUCCAGGCUGGGACCACAUCAAGGAUUAUGGCGGGAGUGGGGUUGAGAGCUGAGCUAGGUGCUUAAUUACCGAGGAGGGCAAUGUGUGUUCCCUCCCCUUCCCCCCAGACAGCAGGGACAGAGGCGUGAGCCAGCAUCACCCCCUCUUGACACAGAGCUGGUCCCUCAAAGUAAACCUCAGGGGUCAUGACUGAUGAUUGUAGGAAGUGAUGUGCUUGCUCUUCCUCAACGGGAAAGGGGGUCUGAGCCAAGCGGUGGCUCCCAGCAACCACACUGUGACCAUAAGAACAGCCAGCUGCAAAACAAAGACAAGACUGAGAAGACAAAGCCGAGAGAACCACAGGGAAGCAGGACCAGGGACCAGAUCAUGCUGUUCCUGAAACCCGGGGGCCUCUGGUGCCUCCGUUAGAAGAGGAAAUAAGCUCGCGUUGUUGUUUGAGCUGGUUAGAGCUGGAUUUUACAUUUUGUGCGGCCAAAGCCUCCUAACAGAGUUAGAGCCUUGCUACGGAGUCCAACUUGCAUCCCAGGCUCUGGAAACCCUCUAACGCACGAUCCUAUUCAUCUGCACGAGGGCCCUGUGACCUGGGAGUGAUUCAUCUUCCAUUUUGCAGAUGAGGAGACUGGGGCUUAGAGAAGCCAAGAAGCAUGGCGUGGCCCGCAGCCUGGAAUCCCUGGAGCCAGCAUUGGAUGUGGGUCUGCUUGGGCCAGAGUCCUGAUCUAAUUCACGCUCCCUUCCACCUGGUGCUUAGGAGCCAGAGUGGCCAUCCCUGGGGAGAGGAAGUGGAUAAGAUAAGCUGCCGGCAGCCAGGGGUCCAGACUUCCCGGCGGGGCAGGGGAAGGAGACAUCACUGGGAACAAAGCUUUCACCGCUGGCCCGAAUUACCUGGUCCCCCUGACAGCCAAGUGGACGGCGGCUGCCGGGAGCGUCGGUGUGAAGUGUGUGCACGCUGGGGAACAAGACACAUCGGCAGCUUCCACUGAUGGGAAAAUAAUGAGGCCACAUCGCCUGGCUGAAAAAUGUACCUGUCUUCAUUAUUCCGGCAGAAAUGAAUAAAAACUUUCCAUUUGAGGAAUGGAGCCAAUUUCCAGCACGGCGCGUGGGGGGAGGUGGGCGAAGAGAGAGCUUGGUUUGCAACUAUGUGUCUUCUCAGCAUGGCUGCAUGGGAGGCAUCCAUGGAAGAAACAGGCGGUGUUCAGAAGUGAUGUGGGAGAAAUUCAAGGAAAUAUGCCAUUCUGAGUUCAGCCUCCUCUGAACCUCUUCUUAAGUCUCAAAUACUGCAUGAGUGUCAUGUGAUGGCUGUAACCCCAGGAACCGAGCCCGGCUUCCAGUAGGGAAGCAUGACGGGAGGUCAACAGCUGGCCCCUCUAGCUUGCCCCCCGGGAGAGGGCUUGGCUCCCCUUGGCAAGCCGAAGGGGCUUCCACGGAUCCAGGGGCCAAGAAGACUCCUCGUGACCACGCACGUGGGGAGACAGCUCCACACAGAAACCCUACAGAUGUUUUGCAGUCCACCCAGCGGCAAGAAGGUGCAAGUGAAAUUGAGUUUUCCGCAACC
rnacentral:lncRNA from 10 species